AUUGAACGCUGGCGGCAUGCCUUACACAUGCAAGUCGAACGGCAGCGCGGGGCAACCUGGCGGCGAGUGGCGAACGGGUGAGUAAUAUAUCGGAACAUACCCUAGAGUGGGGGAUAACGUAGCGAAAGUUACGCUAAUACCGCAUACGCACUAAGGUGGAAAGUGGGGGAUCUUCGGACCUCAUGCUCAUGGAGUGGCCGAUAUCUGAUUAGCUAGUUGGUGAGGUAAAGGCUCACCAAGGCGACGAUCAGUAGCUGGUUUGAGAGAACGACCAGCCACACUGGAACUGAGACACGGUCCAGACUCCUACGGGAGGCAGCAGUGGGGAAUUUUGGACAAUGGGGGCAACCCUGAUCCAGCAAUGCCGCGUGAGUGAAGAAGGCCUUCGGGUUG
rnacentral:rRNA from 1 species